rnacentral:rRNA from 1 species
CUGCAGCUCAAGUGGUGACCACUAUUAUUGGGCCUAAAACGUUCGUAACCGGUUUGGUAAAUGCCUGGGUAAAUCGUGUAGCUUAACUAUACGAAUUCCGGGUAGACUGCCAAACUUGAGACCGGGAGAAGCUAGAGGUACUCCUGGGGUAGAGGUGAAAUUCUGUAAUCCUGGGGGGACCACCAGUGGCGAAGGCGUCUAGCUAGAACGGGUCUGACGGUGAGGAACGAAGCCCUGGGGCGCAAACCGGAUUAGAUACCCGAGUAGUCC